rnacentral:rRNA from 1 species
GCAAGUCGAGCGGGCAUUCCUGUGGCGUCGGCGGACGACUGAUGAGUAACGGGUGGCAACGUGUCCUUCUCUUCGUAAUUCCUGGAGACUUCUUGAACUAAUACCGAAUACGUGCAAGAGAAAAGUUGUUUAGCUGCCGAAGGAUCCGCCCGCGGCUGAUUAGCUUGUUGGGGAGGUUGCGGCUCACCGAGGCGACCAUCAGUAGCUGGGCUGAGAGGAUGAUCAACCACGCUGGGACUGAAACACCCCCCAUACUCCUACGGGAGGCAGCGGGGGGGAAUGUUGAACGAGGGGGGCCACCCUGAUCCAGCCCCGCCGGGUGAAUGAUGACCUCCUUAUGGUUGAAAUCUUUUCUUCUCCGGGACAAUGAUGACGCCGCCGGAGGAAUACCCCCCGACUUACUUGCCGCCAGCCGCCGCAAUAAUACGAGGGGGGCUGGUGUUGGUAGUAAUCGCUGGKCGUARGGGGCKCGUAGGCGGCUGAUUUAGUUCGACGGGUGAAAGACACCUGGUGGCUCAACCACGGAAUGGCCUAUCGAUACUGAUUGGCUUGAGACCGGAAGAGGACAGCGGAACUGCGAGUGUAGAGGUGAAAUUCGUAGAUAUUCGCAAGAACACCAGUGGCGAAGAAGGCGGCUGUCUGGUCCGGUUCUGACGCUGAGGCGCAGAAAGCGUGGAGGAGCAAACAGGAUUAGAAAAUACCCUGGUAGUCCACGCUGUAAACGAAUGAAUGCUAGCCGUUGGGGUGCAUGCACCUCAGUGGCGGCCGCUAACGACUUUAUUAGCAUUCCGCCUGGGGAGUACGACGGUCGCAUUAGAUUAAAUACAUCAGAAUGAAUUGGACGGGGGCCCGCACACAGCGGGUGAGCAAGGCUAGUGUGGUAUUAAUUCGAAGCAAGUCGUACGACAGAACACUUACCAUCCCUUGACAUGGCAUGCGAGCCGGAGAGAUCCGGUGUUCCCUUCGGGGACGUGCACACAGGUGCUGCAUGGCUGUCGUCAGCUCGUGUCGUGAGAUGUUGGGUUAAGUCCCGCAACGAGCGCAACCCACGUCCUCAGUUGCCAUCAUUUAGUUGGGCACUCUGGGGAGACUGCCGGUGAUAAGCCGCGAGGAAGGUGUGGAUGACGUCAAGUCCUCAUGGCCCUUACGGGAUGGGCUACACACGUGCUACAAUGGCGGUGACAAUGGGCAGCGAAGGGGCGACCUGGAGCGAAUCCCCAAAAGCCGUCUCAGUUCGGAUUGCACUCUGCAACUCGGGUGCAUGAAGGCGGAAUCGCUAGUAAUCGUGGAUCAGCAUGCCACGGUGAAUACGUUCCCGGGCCUUGUACACACCGCCCGUCACACCAUGGGAGUUGGUCUUACCCGACGGCGCUGCGCCAACCGCAAGGAGGCAGGCGACCACGGUAGGGUCAGCGACUGGGUGAAGUCGUAACAAGUUAACCGUAAAACCU